UGGUAUAUAAAGGAGCUGCUUAUCAAAGAGAAACCAUGAUUCACUACUGGAAAUCAAAAACACUCAUCAUAUCUGACUUUACAUACUAAGACAUCAGCACUUCAUUCUGAAAGUAGUUAUAUUUCAUGUAAAUGUGGGUGCAUCGCAAAACGAUAGCCACACCUGUAAUGUACGAAACAUUAGGCACAUCUUUCUCAAUCGGCAGCCUCAAUCAGAAUCAAAAGAACACACUGACAGUUUAAACCAACUGAGGUUAAUGCGGUAAAUAUUUGGACCAUCAUUAGAAAGAUUAAGCCUUGAGAACAAACGUAAGAAAAUCUCCAGACUAUAUGUGGACAAAGUUCCCCAUACGGUGAAAAUACACCCGCUCUUACCUGAAGC